GGAAUGGCGCAGGCGCAGUGACAGGUGCUGAAUUCCGUGAUUAUUCUGGAUCUCUUCUGGAAGUGGGUGCCACGGUCAUGGGCCAGUUGCUGAGAAAGCUCGCCUCACUCCUAAGAGGAUCUCUCUCAUUGUUCCCAGGGAAGAGAACAGCCUUGACAUUGUUGAAGUAAACACUCAGUCCCUCCCUGUUCACCGCUUGUUCUGCACUUCUUUCAAUAGCAACUUACUUGUAAAGAAGGAGAGACACAAUGAUGACAAACGCCACCAAGAAACCUGAGGCAAUCAAGACACCUUCCACUGUCCUCGAAGAUGACCCUGGAGCUUGAAUAACAAAUUUGGUUUAAAUAUUAGCCUCAUGUUCUAUACAGUGAGGUACAAUUUUCCAGCAAUACCAUUCUUUCUGCCACAUGACUCUAAGGUUCAGUAUAUUUCACACUCCCUUUACGCUAAACAAUAGGGCUCAGGGGCAUUCACAGACUGUAGGGUCCAAUUAAUCUUUGAUGCCAACUGAGUUAUACUAAAGGUGAAUACUAAGAGUGCCUUGUAUGUUUCCAUGUGAAAUAUAUUGUUUGCUGACUGUAACAUGCAAAUACCUUUACAAUGUGCAAAGGAACUGCAGGGCUAGUUGGCAUCCCACAAGAUUUGGAGUUACUUUGCUACUUGCCCAGUUGUUAUGCUACAAAGGGACUGUUUAAAUUAAAAGUGCAAAGUACUUAAUCGUUUUAUAACCCAGAGAAUAAGAAUUAGCAUGUCAUUGAGGAGUGGAGUUUGAGGGAGGAGAAAGAAUGGACUUUCUCUGGUAUCUUUUCAUUUGCCCUAGACAUGCGUUCUAGUGAUUCCCCUCUCUGGCCCAGGAUUGGACAGAACAUCCUCCUGAGAGGACUGAGUGUCCGUAGAUGGGAUGAUUGUUGGUGAUGAUGUGAUGCCUCUCCUAGGGGUUGAGUGUUCUGCCUUUGUAAUACUGACAGCUUGGGAAAUUAACUCUUGACCCAGCCUGUGAUUUCCUCUGUCGCUGUGCCACCAAAUUUCCAGUCCACCUCUGAGAAUGGCCUUAAAUUCAGAGACCACUGCGCUUGGAUCCAGUCCUAACCCCACCAGAUCUGGCCACAGGAGAAAUUGAAUAAAUAAAUACUGUUAAUUAUUGUUUACUUUUAUGAUUUGUAUUAAGCAUCUUAAUUCUCCAGUCCAGAGGCUGCUCUUCAAU